rnacentral:rRNA from 1 species
UAACCUGCCCAAGAGAUCGGGAUAACACCUGGAAACAGAUGCUAAUACCGGAUAACAACAGAUGAUGCCUAUCAACUGUUUAAAAGAUGGUUCUGCUAUCACUCUUGGAUGGACCUGCGGUGCAUUAGCUAGUUAGUAGGGUAACGGCCUACCAAGGCGAUGAUGCAUAGCCGAGUUGAGAGACUGAUCGGCCACAUUGGGACUGAGACACGGCCCAAACUCCUACGGGAGGCAGCAGUU